rnacentral:snRNA from 1 species
AAACCUAGUCUGCACAGUCGCCAAGGUGACUUUCUCAGGGUGAGGCUUAUCCAUUGCACUCCCGAUGUGCCGACCCUUACAAUUUCCCCAAAUGUGGGGAACUUGACUGCGUAAUCUGUAGUACUGAUGGGUCUUCAUGCUUCCCACUG